GGGUGAGACUCCCGUCUGUGCCUCAGGUUGACAGUUUUUGAAGGUACUCUCAACGAGUCGAGUUGCUUGGGAUUGCAGCUCAAAGUGGGUGGUAAAUUCCAUCUAAAACUAAAUAUUGGUGGGAGACCGAUAGCGCACAAGUACCGUGAGGGAAAGAUGCAAAGAACUUUGAAAAGAGAGUUAAAGAGUACCUGAAAUUGCUGAAAUGUAAGCGAAGGAAACCAGUGCCGGUUUUGUAGUAUAUUUCCUGGUCCACUUGUGGACUGGGCGCUGUGCUAUGAAGUGGGUCAUCGUCGGUUCGGACCGCCAGAAACGGUGCAGGAGGAUGUGGCCCCUUUGGGGUGUUAUAUUUUCUGUAUUUAAUGGUGGUCUGGGCCGUGGCAAUCACGCAAGUGCUCGUGUCGAUGACAAAAUGGUUUUCUUUAUCCCGUCUUGAAACACGGACCAAGGAGUCUAAC
rnacentral:rRNA from 1 species